rnacentral:rRNA from 1 species
UACGUAGGGUGCAAGCGUUAAUCGGAAUUACUGGGCGUAAAGCGUGCGCAGGCGGUUGGGGAAGACAGAUGUGAAAUCCCCGGGCUUAACCUGGGAAUGGCAUUUGUGACUGCACGGCUAGAGUGUGUCAGAGGGGGGUAGAAUUCCACGUGUAGCAGUGAAAUGCGUAGAUAUGUGGAGGAAUACCGAUGGCGAAGGCAGCCCCCUGGGAUAACACUGACGCUCAUGCACGAAAGCGUGGGGAGCAAACAGG